GUUUCCGUAGCUCAGCAGGAUAGAGCAACUGCCUCCUAAGCAGUAGGCCGUGGGUUCGACUCCCGCCGGGAACGCCA
rnacentral:tRNA from 1 species